UCCGUCGGCUGUCCUGGAUGCCGUUUCGUCGGGGUCGUGGUGCGAGCGAACCUGUCCUCGCACGCCGCGCAUCGUGCGGCCCGUCAUGGGCAGCCUCAAAUCACAACAACCACGUCCCUCCCUGCUCCCUCCCUUGUCCGUCGCCGCACCCGUUCUUCUCCUGCUCUCUCUCUCUCUCUCUCUUCUGCGAUGUUCCUCCUUCCUAUUGGCGCGCCUCGCCCCGUCUUCCACCUUCACGUUCAUCUUCAACACCCCCUCCUCGGCUAGAUGGCACCUCUGGGGGUGAAGGAGCAGGGGAGGGCCAAGAGGCCAGCGGUGUGGGGUGGAGCAGCGAGGCCGGCAGCCCAGACGGCGGACGCCUCAUGGGAUGGAGGAGAGGCCAGCGAUAGGGAAGGAUCAGAAUCCUCAUGGAGCGCAGGGAAGGUGAAGUCCCGACGGCUGAAGAUGGUGCGCACGGGAGGAGCUCAGGUGAUGUCAAGGGUAGUUAUGCCUCCAUGCAUUCCAUAACAAAAUGCAUAUAUGUCCUGGAGGUAGGAUUUCAGCUUCAGAUUGUCAUCAAGUUUGUUGAAUUUAUCGUUCCAUGUUGGAACAGUGUACUUUCACGAGUAUUUUUCUACUGAGUACAUACAAUACUUUCACACCUAUGUUGUAUUAUAUUCCAACUUUACAAGUACCUUGUGCUUUUGCUCUUGUA